rnacentral:piRNA from 1 species
AUUAUUGUUUGGGAUUAAAGUG